CAAUCAUCUAACACCGCCAGCUGUAGCGAAAGGAAAAGGGAGAAAACAAAGAAAAUGGUGAAGGCGUUAAGGGGAAUAAUUCCGGGAGGCAAAAAAAUGGAUACACCUGCUGUUCUCGACGAAGCAGUCAGAUACCUGAAAUCCCUCAAGAUGGAAGCAAAGAAGCUUGGCAUGCAAAAUUCCGAUGACUGAAGCUACGGG
rnacentral:misc_RNA from 1 species